rnacentral:rRNA from 1 species
GACGAACGCUGGCGGCGUGCUUAACACAUGCAAGUCGAACGGAAAGGCCCUGCUUUUGUGGGGUGCUCGAGUGGCGAACGGGUGAGUAACACGUGAGUAACCUGCCCUUGACUUUGGGAUAACUUCAGGAAACUGGGGCUAAUACCGGAUAGGAGCUCCUGCUGCAUGGUGGGGGUUGGAAAGUUUCGGCGGUUGGGGAUGGACUCGCGGCUUAUCAGCUUGUUGGUGGGGUAGUGGCUUACCAAGGCUUUGACGGGUAGCCGGCCUGAGAGGGUGACCGGCCACAGUGGGACUGAGAUACGGCCCAGACUGCUACGGGAGGCAGCAGUGGGGAAUAUUGCACAAUGGGCGGAAGCCUGAUGCAGCAACGCCGCGUGCGGGAUGACGGCCUUCGGGUUGUAAACCGCUUUCGCCUGUGACGAAGCGUGAGUGACGGUAAUGGGUAAAGAAGCACCGGCUAACUACGUG